rnacentral:rRNA from 1 species
UAGGGAAUCUUCCGCAAUGGACGCAAGUCUGACGGAGCAACGCCGCGUGAGUGAAGAAGGAUUUCGGUUCGUAAAACUCUGUUGUUAGAGAAGAACAGCGCAUAGAGUAACCGUUAUGCGUGUGACGGUAUCUAACCAGAAAGCCACGGCUAACUACGUGCCAGCAGCCGCGGUAAUACGUAGGUGGCAAGCGUUGUCCGGAUUUAUUGGGCGUAAAGCGAGCGCAGGCGGUCAAUUAAGUCUGAUGUGAAAGCCCCCGGCUCAACCGGGGAGGGUCAUUGGAAACUGGUUGACUUGAGUGCAGAAGAGGAGAGUGGAAUUCCAUGUGUAGCGGUGAAAUGCGUAGAUAUAUGGAGGAACACCAGUGGCGAAGGCGACUCUCUGGUCUGUAACUGACGCUGAGGUUCGAAAGCGUGGGUAGCAAACAGG